UACGUAGGGGGCAAGCGUUGUCCGGAAUCAUUGGGCGUAAAGCGCGUGUAGGCGGCCCGAUAAGUCCGCUGUGAAAGUCCAGGGCUCAACCCUGGAAUGCCGGUGGAUACUGUCGGGCUCGAGUCCGGAAGAGGCGAGUGGAAUUCCUGGUGUAGCGGUGAAAUGCGCAGAUAUCAGGAGGAACACCGGUGGCGAAGGCGGGUCGCUGGACAGUUCCUGACGCUGAGGCACGAAGGUCAGGGGAGCAAACGGG
rnacentral:rRNA from 1 species